CCUACGGGUGGCAGCAGUGGGGGAUAUUGCACAAUGGGGGAAACCCUGAUGCAGCGACGCCGCGUGGGUGAAGAAGUAUUUCGGUAUGUAAAGCCCUAUCAGCAGGGAAGAAAGAAGACGGUACCUGACUAAGAAGCCCCGGCUAACUACGUGCCAGCAGCCGCGGUAAUACGUAGGGGGCGAGCGUUAUCCGGAUGCACUGGGUGUAAAGGGAGCGUAGACGGCCGUGCAAGCCAGGAGUGAAAGCCCGGGGCCCAACCCCGGGACUGCUCGUGGGACUGUGCGGCUGGAGUGCGGGAGGGGCAGGCGGAAUUCCUGGGGUAGCGGUGAAAUGCGUAGAUAUCAGGAGGAACACCGGCGGCGAAGGCGGCCUGCUGGACCGCGACUGACGUUGAGGCUCGAAAGCGUGGGGAGCGAACAGGAUUAGAUACCCCUGUAGUC
rnacentral:rRNA from 1 species